GCUCAUGUAUCAAUGGAAAUUAACACAGGUCUAGAGCCUAUUGUAAAAGCUUUACCAGAAAAGAAACUUUGAAUUUUUAAACUGCAUAGAAUAUGAUAAUCAUUUCUGCAAUUAUAUUUUCAUGGUAUUACAAAUCAUGUUUAAAUCAAGAUGCAGGGAAUUAAACUACAGACAUACAGUGGGAUGUUAUCACAAUUGAAGUGUCUGCAUUCAAGACUUGAACUACAUUUAUUGCUGGAUUAUCUUAAUUAAUGGACCAGUGUCAGGUAAAUGAUUGUUUCACUCAGUUUACAUUAAGAAGUUUAAAUAUCAGAAAUCCUAGUCUCAACUUUGAAUUUUUUCUAAGAUUGAUUCUGAUAUGGAUGUACAAAAUAUGGACAAGGAAACAUUUAAGUUCUACAUUCGCUUGUGAAUCAUUGAAGGGGAGCUAUUUUUAGCUGACCAAAUUUACUGCCAGGGCAUAUAGGCAAUCAGAGCAAACAGAUUAGAAAAACUACUUUUGGAUAGUUAUUAAUGAAAGAGUCAAAAUAUCUCAUUCUCAGCUGUUAUCAAAAUCUGUGUGCAAAUCAAGGCCUUGCUCUAAAAAGGAUUCAAAGAUACAGAUAUGAUUCUUGUAUAUUAGGAUUAUUACCAUUUUAAAACACAUUCUAAAAAGGAUGAUGGAAAUGUAAUUUCUAAUCCUUUAUGUGGAAAAGAGGACCGCCAGAUUGUUUGUGUCAUACAUUGUGGAAAAAAUCUCAUGGCAUGAAGAAGUAUAAUGCUGCUUUCAUAACUUUGAUGAAAAUGCAAUAUGGUCAACAGAUAACGUGAUUCUUGGUGCAUUAAGUUUAUUUUGGCUGAACGUUUUCAUUUUCUGCGAAUAUGGUUAAGAGGACUGGUUGAUGUUUUAACGAUUUCCUUCAAAACUGCAGUUCCCUGGAGUAAUUUAUCUGCAUCAUAAGCAUGGCAAUUCUAAUAAGGAUUAACAUCUGUUUUACCAAAAGAAGCUGAAACCGAUCAGGCAAAUACGGAAUUAAUUUUGGGGACCUCAGAGAAAGUGAAACAGGACAGAAGAUGCACAAAAAUAUCCAUAAAAAUGUAGUAGAUUCUUCAGAUAUUAGCACAGUAAAAUACUUUAAUGCUGUCGCAUGUGAAUACGCAAAAUACCAUAAACCACAACCAUAAAUGAUAUAUUUUGUAUGUGGCUGUCACAAUUGAAGAAAAUAGCAGAUAUAUGAAAUGGAAACUCAAAGUCAAAACUAACAUGAUAUGGAAUUAAACAUUUACGCUCAUGUAGAAAGUGCCAAAACCAUGUUACAAACUAUUUUUUAAUUGUGUACAUAGCGGUAGUGAUACUUAUGCCUACAUGUACAUUAUGAUAUCAUGCAAUAUAGGAAAUUAUGGAAAGACUCAAACCUUUUUACCUGUACCUUUUAUGUCCCUUUUAAGGAAGAAAUCAGCAAAAAUAGUAGUUUUUGUCAAAAUUAAAUGAGAUAUAUGGUUUUACAAGACAUAUGACAUAAAGUCGCCAUAUUACAGUUUUUAAUGUACCGGUAGUCAUAAUCAUUUAAUAGCUUGCAUUACCUUACAGCUAUGAAAAAAGGUUUAGUGCCAUAACGUUCCUCUUUUUUAUGGGGCAUAUUUUUCUAUCAUUUGAAAAUUACGAUUACUGUUUUUAAAUGACAUCCACGCUCUUUUCAGUGUUUGACUGUAUCAUGGUGAAGGUACUGUUGAGCCAUGGCACACAAAGAACCUUUUAUAGUCAAAGAUCUUUUAUAAUACAUGGCACGGCCUUUUUCUUAGAUUUAAGUUUGGUAUGUAUUAACUGAUAUUUCAUGUCAGACACUUGGGGUUCAGCUGUCAAGUGAAUUGCUGUAACAGUCUUUUCAAGUAUACUUUAAUAAAUCAUUCCGAUCAUAG